GGAUGAGGAGGAGGAUGUUGAAUUCAUACCAUUUCCUAAGAGUGAGGUGGCAAGCUCUUGAAUGACAAGUUUGCUGCCUAAUCUAUUUCUUGCUAGUAGGUACUCAAAAUAAAUGUAUAUGGGAUGCUGGACAUGUGGGAGUGGAAGACCUUUUGGAGUUUUGGUAGAUGCUAGCAGCAUGUGAUGGAUGGAUGAUUGAUCAUCAACAAUUGAACAUUGAUGCUGCAGCAGCAACUUAUGCUUAAUUUCCUAUCUCUCUAUGAAUUGUGGUCUGUGCCCUUUAAUGUAAUGCGAACCUUGGGAUAUUAUGCUGCAUGAAUUUUCGACUGUUAAGCUACCUACAAUGUGAUAGUGGACUUUUAUGUGGAUUUUUAAGUACUUCUGGUUUCUGUACACGUUUUUGUCACAAGUGUGAAUAUUGUGGUCAUGCUGCCUUGCUGUUGUGACAAGGAAAUUGCAUCUGUUUGGUGAUGUAUAUGUUUAAUAUAUACAUACUAAUUUUUAUCA